rnacentral:rRNA from 1 species
CCAGGUAGCUGCCUUCGCCAUGGAUGUUCCUCCUGAUCUCUACGCAUUUCACUGCUACACCAGGAAUUCCGCUACCCUCUACCACACUCUAGUCGCCCAGUAUCCACUGCAGUUCCCAGGUUGAGCCCAGGGCUUUCACAACGGACUUAAACGACCACCUACGCACGCUUUACGCCCAGUAAUUCCGAGUAACGCUUGCACCCUUCGUAUUACCGCGGCUGCUGGCACGAAGUUAGCCGGUGCUUAUUCUUUGGGUACCGUCAUCCCAACCGGGUAUUAGCCAGCUGGAUUUCUUUCCCAACAAAAGGGCUUUACAACCCGAAGGCCUUCUUCACCCACGCGGUAUGGCUGGAUCAGGCUUGCGCCCAUUGUCCAAUAUUCCCCACUGCUGCCUCCCGUAGGAGUCUGGACCGUGUCUCAGUUCCAGUGUGGCUGAUCAUCCUCUCAGACCAGCUACGGAUCGUCGCCUUGGUGGGCCUUUACCCCGCCAACUAGCUAAUCCGACAUCGGCUCAUUCAAUCGCGCAAGGUCCGAAGAUCCCCUGCUUUCACCCGUAGGUCGUAUGCGGUAUUAGCGUAAGUUUCCCUACGUUAUCCCCCACGACAGAGUAGAUUCCGAUGUAUUCCUCACCCGUCCGCCACUCGCCACCCAGAGAGCAAGCUCUCCUGUGCUGCCGUUCGACUUGCAUGUGUUAGGCCUA